AAAACAAUAAAACAAAAUAGACCCAAACUUGUAACUAAACAUCAGGUUAUCUGGACUUGCUGCUUUGUUUUUAGCAAUUAUUUUUCUCAUGGUUUUGCACUAACCUUUCACUGAAACUCUCACAAAACAACCCCAUUAUUGUAUUUUGGAGGGGCAAACACAAUAUAUAGUAAUAGUGGUUUAUUAUCAGCGACUGUGCAAUGAAAUUAAAUCAAAAUCACUUUACAGUUUUUUCUCUUUGCUUCAUUUCUCCAUAAAUAUUCUCUCCCAUAUGUGACUUUUUGCUCCAAAAUUUUGAAACAGAUUUGCAACUGUGAGGUUUUAUUUUGAAAGUCCCCACAGGAAGUCACUUCAUAUUGUACUGGCUGACUUGACAUUGGUGGCAUCUUUUAUUUCAUGCAAAGAGCAAAAAGCAGGAGCUGCAGGUUUUUGCUCAGUAUAUUAGAUCCACCAGAUCCCAUUCAACUUUUCCUCAUUUUAAUGAAGCCAGUAGUGAUGCCACAGUGAGUUGUUUGUUUUUGUGCUGGAAAGGAUAAUGUGGAAUAUUUUCCUGCAAACAACCUGACUCUGCAGACCCAAGGAUGUCUUGGCCGGCUCUGUAUGCCCAGUUAGUCGGGGCGAACCGCCACUCCACCAGCCUGGGGAAAAUCUGGCUUUCGGUGCUGUUUAUUUUCCGGGUCAUGGUGCUGGUUGUUGCUGCUGAGAGUGUCUGGGGUGACGAGCAGUCUGACUUCACCUGUAACACACUACAGCCCGGCUGUGAAAACGUCUGCUAUGAUCAGUUCUUCCCCGUCUCCCACAUCCGUCUUUGGUGUCUUCAGCUUGUCUUUGUCUCCACACCGACACUCCUGGUUGCAAUGUACGUGGCCUAUCGGAACCACAGCGAUAAGAAGAGGCUAACGCAGGGUUCUGGUAGAGCUGGUUUGCUCAGCAACAAAGGCCAGGAGGAAGAUUUGGAGACGCUAAAGAGACGGAGACUCCCAAUAGCUGGCGCCCUCUGGUGGACGUACGCCUGCAGCCUGGUGUUCAGGCUGCUGUUUGAAGGAGGCUUCAUGUAUGCCCUAUACGUGGUAUACGAUGGUUUCGAGAUGCCACGGCUGGUGCAGUGUGACCAGUGGCCAUGUCCAAACCUGGUGGACUGCUUCAUCUCACGCCCUACUGAGAAAACUAUCUUCACCGUUUUCAUGGCCACUGCCUCCUCCAUCUGCAUGGUCCUCAACAUGGCUGAACUUGCAUAUCUUGUUGCCAAGGCUGUCACUAGGAGUCUGUGUGGUCAGAAGGAGAGGAAAACAUGCAGAAAAUCUAUCAGAGAGAGGACGCAGAAUAAGACAAAUCAGAAGUUACUUGUCUCGAAAUGAGGAAGCAGCAACAAGAUGCAUCAAGUGAUCUACUGUAUUGACCUCUGUUGACCUCUGCUGGUGGCCAGCAGUGACUGCAUCACCACCUGCCCUCCUCUGAGGGACAGUCACCGACACAAAACUAAGAGCCCGAUGCCUCUUAACCCCGGAAGAAGAAACAGUCCAGUGCUCUCUAGGAUUUUGGUUCCAGACCAAUACCCUGAAGACUUUCAUGUCGAAACACCCGGUACCAUGUGCAGAGGUACUAGGGAGUCUGGAAUAUCAGUACUUCCACCAGAGGAGACUUUGUCGGCGUCUUCCACAUCCACGGCCCAGCUCACUGGCUUUGUUGCUGGUUUCAUCAUGCUUGGAAUACCUCCGAUACUUCUUGGCCUCCACAGGUAUUAACAGUUUCUACAUAACUGGGGUAAACUGUGAAAACUAAUGUCUUUAGUUUAGGAACAGAAACAUCUUGACUUUGCACAACUUACUCAGCAGGCAUCAGACAUAGAUAAAUGAUGCCUUUUUCAAAUUUACACAGCAAACGGUGGGUUAUGAAACUCAGGUUGUGCAAAUAGCGUUUAAAAUAUAAUGCUGGGUAAAUAGGAGAGGAUCCAAAAGGGAUGCCUGCGGCACACCCAUAGUCACAGCAAGAAUUAAAGCACUUAAAGGCAACCCUUCUUUUGGAUAAUAAGAAUAUGCCUAAUCUUUUUAAUAAAAAAAUAGGUAUUCUCUAUGAAAAUCCUUUAUUUUUUCUUGUUUUAUAGUAGUAGUAGUAGUAGUAGUAGUAAAAAAAAACAAAAAACAACCUUGGUAGCCUACUUAUUCUUAUUAUAUAAAUUAGAGCUAUUUCUAAUAUCAGCAGCCUACUACUGCUAGCCUACUACUUCCGUGACUAUGAUAAUAUAGUCCCAAUAUUAUUAUCAUUGCCACUUCUAGCCUACAAUAGGAGUAAUAAUAAUAAUAUACCUAAUCUUUUUAAUAAAAAAAACUGGUAUUCUCUACGAAAAUCCUUUAUUUUUUUCUUGUUAAAAAAAACAAAAAAUAACCUUUAUAG